CCUACGGGUGGCAGCAGUGAGGAAUAUUGGUCAAUGGACGCAAGUCUGAACCAGCCAUGCCGCGUGCAGGACGACGGCUCUAUGAGUUGUAAACUGCUUUUGUACGAGGGUAAACGCAGAUACGCGUAUCUGUCUGAAAGUAUCGUACGAAUAAGGAUCGGCUAACUCCGUGCCAGCAGCCGCGGUAAUACGGAGGAUUCAAGCGUUAUCCGGAUUUAUUGGGUUUAAAGGGUGCGUAGGCGGUCGGAUAAGUUAGAGGUGAAAUCCCGAGGCUCAACUUCGGAAUUGCCUCUGAUACUGUUCGUCUAGAGAGUAGUUGCGGUAGGCGGAAUGUAUGGUGUAGCGGUGAAAUGCUUAGAGAUCAUACAGAACACCGAUUGCGAAGGCAGCUUACCAAGCUACUUCUGACGUUGAGGCACGAAAGCGUGGGGAGCAAACAGGAUUAGAUACCCGGGUAGUC
rnacentral:rRNA from 1 species